UUUGCUUGUGUUCUCUUAAUUCUAUAUUUUAGUUUUGUUUAUAUUCCAUCAUUUCAUUUUUUACUCACUAUGUUUAUUGUGUGUUUCUGAAUAUUAGGAGAUUAAGAUUACAUAUAUAGUUUAUCAUGAUUCCUCUAUUAGUUCUAUGAGUGAGAGUUGUGUUUAGUAAGAUCAAGUGAUUACUUUCAUGAUUUUAUUUUUUUCUUCUUGUAAUUUAAUUGGCUGAUCAAGUGUCUUUAUAUGUCAUGGUUAAUUUCAUUUCUAUCUUUUUGCUAAUCUCAUGAGUUUAUCCAUAAUAUUCUUUGUUGUUUGCUUAAGAUUUGUAUGUGUUAACCAUUAUGGUAUUUACUGUAAAAUAUUUACGAAGGUAUUCCAAAAUACUUUGCUCAUGAUUUUGUUCUUGUUUGUGUAAAUCCAUAUGUCUUUAAACUUGUUUAUUGUCUCAGUUGAUUGAUGAUGUAUCUUUCUAAUUUUUUUUUUUUUCAUGUUGUGUCUUCGAAGCUGCAUUGGACAUAACGAGCAAUCUAUCUUAUGAGAUCUUCAAUUAGUGUAUGGAUAAAAGGUUUAAGAAAAGAGAAAGAUGAAUAUUUGUAAUAAAUUAUGUUUAUCUAAGACUCUAUGUUUUAAACUUUUUUAUGAAUGUUACUUGGACAAGUACUAUAAUUUUUCUAAGAACUGAAGACUAUAACGAAUGAUGAAGAGAUUUGUUUUAUUUAUGUUGGUUAUUGAACAUUUCCAGGAAGGUAAUAAUGAAAGUCGGAAUAUGGUUUGAUUGUAAUAUGAUAGUAUAUGACAUGUUUAUAAUGUAUAUCCAAAACAAAAUAUGAGAGUCUUUCAUGCAAAAUCUCAACUAAAAAUAUGAAAUGAGAUUUAAAAAAAUUAACUAUUUGAUAUCUAAAUCGGUAAGUUUCAAAUUGUAUUAUAUAAUUUUUAGGAAUUUGCUUUCAGAAAAGUUUUAUAAGACUAAGGAAACGAUGCCGAGUACUCUUGGAAAUGGUAUCAUAGUUUUCAC
rnacentral:lncRNA from 1 species